rnacentral:rRNA from 1 species
GUUUAUGGCCGUGCCACCCUGAACGUGCUCAAUCUCAUCUGAUCUCGGAAGGUAAGCAAGGUCGGGCCUGGUUAGUACUUGGCUGGGAGACCACCUAGAAAUACUAGGUGCUGUAGAUG